rnacentral:rRNA from 1 species
UACGGGGGGAGCAAGCGUUGUUCGGAUUUACUGGGCGUAAAGGGCGCGUAGGCGGUCAGCACAAGUCAGUUGUGAAAUCUCCGGGCUUAACUCGGAAAGGUCAACUGAUACUGUGCGACUAGAGUGCAGAAGGGGCAACUGGAAUUCUCGGUGUAGCGGUGAAAUGCGUAGAUAUCGAGAGGAACACCGGUGGCGAAGGCGGCAUCCUGGACCAACACUGACGCUGAGUGAGCGAAAGCCAGGGGAGCAAACGGG